UACGUAGGUCCCGAGCGUUGUCCGGAUUUAUUGGGCGUAAAGCGAGCGCAGGUGGUUUAUUAAGUCUGGUGUAAAAGGCAGUGGCUCAACCAUUGUAUGCAUUGGAAACUGGUAGACUUGAGUGCAGGAGAAGAGAGUGGAAUUCCAUGUGUAGCGGUGAAAUGCGUAGAUAUAUGGAGGAACACCGGUGGCGAAAGCGGCUCUCUGGCCUGUAACUGACACUGAGACUCGAAAGCGUGGGGAGCAAACAGG
rnacentral:rRNA from 1 species